rnacentral:lncRNA from 1 species
AUUGUACUGUAGUUCCAUGGUAGCUACGCUGAUGUUGAUUGCCACUGUGUACAGCAGCAUGGCUUUGAAGAAUAUCAAAGUUAUCAACUGAGGCAAUUGUGAAAACAGAAGGUGAAAGUAUUGUCCAAACAUUUUUUUUCCCUGUUUUCACUAGCGUGCAUACUGACAAACCUGUCAUGUGUGUCUGGUGAAGACACACAUCCAAGUCUAUUCAGCAUUUUUAUUAGCUGUCGUGAACCACCACCUGUCUCAACAAUAUCAGCUAAGACAUUAUGAAAUGCUGUUGGCUUUCUUGGGUUGGUGACGAACAUUAAAAGAGAUAUGAUGAAAAAAAGACGGGUUUGUCUAAUGUGGGCUGUUAAUUUACUGUAAUUAGAUGGACUCUGUGUGGCUUGAUCUAGAAAAUUUAUAAGCAAUGGAUUUGUCUCCUCCAUAAACAGAUUAUUUGUGGCUCAUCUAAGCACUCAUUGUCAUGCAUGUAUUGAAAAGAAUCUUGGCAUUGCCUUGAUCCUAGAGCCCAUGAUAAGCAAGUCAAAAGGAUCAACUGAUAUAGAAGCCAACGGGGAGUGAACUUGGUGGUACCAUUUUCUGUUUCAAGAACAACAUCUGUAUUAUAGACUGAAGUAGCAACAUAGCAUUCAUCACUAUAGGCAUUGAGAAAAACUCUACAAGCAUCACUCAGAAGUAGAGCCUUCUCUUGUGUAAAGCUUCUGGCAACAGCUAGAACUGCACUUAAAACUGCUCUUUUUAGGAUCUGUUUCAAUGUGCUUGAUUAUGGAAAUGUGUGCGUUAUAGCACGACUUACAUAAUAAGUCAUUUGAGGAACAUAAUUUGGUUUAUGAUGGUAUCGACUUGCUUCAAGGUAAUGUUUUUUACAAGCAAAUAUUGCUGCACUUCGGUUAUGAGUUGUGUUUGGCAAAUGGCGGAAAAUAAAAGACUGAUAUUCAUCUUUCCAGCUAGUUACGGAACUUAGCUGGCCAUCAGCUCUCUUGCCACAUAGGUGACACUGCUUUGGUGGUGCUUCAGCCAUUUGGGAUACAAGAUAAACGAUGUAAUACCAAACUCUUGACCCUAUAUUCUCUAAGACAAAUUUGUACUAUGGAUAAAUGACAAGAACAGUUCAG